UGGUCAAUUAGAGGAAGUAAAAGUUGUAACAAGGUCUCCGUUGGUGAACCAGCGGAGGGAUCAUUA
rnacentral:rRNA from 1 species